rnacentral:misc_RNA from 1 species
UCUCCGUUGGUGAACCAGCGGAGGGAUCAUUACCGAGUUUACAACUCCCAAACCCCUGUGAACAUACCUUAACGUUGCUUCGGCGGACAACCCUCGCCUUAAACCGCGAGGCCCCGCCAGAGGACCCAAACCCCAACUUUAUGUUUUAUCUUAAACCUACAUCUCUGAGUGGAUUUUAUAAAUCAAAUCAAAACUUUCAACAACGGAUCUCUUGGCUCUG